rnacentral:rRNA from 1 species
UACAGAGGGUGCAAGCGUUAAUCGGAAUUACUGGGCGUAAAGGGCGCGUAGGCGGUUAUUUAAGUGAGAUGUGAAAUCCCUGGGCUUAACCCAGGAACUGCAUCUUAUACUGGAUAACUGGAGUACAGUAGAGGGCAGUGGAAUUUCCGGUGUAGCGGUGAAAUGCGUAGAUAUCAGGAGGAACACCGGUGGCGAAGGCGGUUCUCUGGGCCUUACCUGACGCUGAGGAGCGAAAGCAUGGGGAGCAAACAGG